rnacentral:pre_miRNA from 1 species
UCUUAUGGCGGAGCAAAGAAAGUGGUUUCUUGAGGUGGAGUCUACUUCUGGUGAAGCUAUUUUGAA